rnacentral:rRNA from 1 species
GGGUGAGUAAUGUCUGGGAAACUGCCUGAUGGAGGGGGAUAACUACUGGAAACGGUAGCUAAUACCGCAUAACGUCGCAAGACCAAAGAGGGGGACCUUAGGGCCUCUUGCCAUCGGAUGUGCCCAGAUGGGAUUAGCUAGUAGGUGGGGUAAAGGCUCACCUAGGCGACGAUCCCUAGCUGGUCUGAGAGGAUGACCAGCCACACUGGAACUGAGACACGGUCCAG